GGGUCAGUAGGUUGGUCGUGCCACCGGUACGUACUGGUCUCACUGAUUCCUCCUUCCUGAGGAACCGUAAUGCCAUUAAUUUGGUGUUGCGGGGAAACAGGACUGUUGCUUUGAAAAAAUUAGAGUGUUUAAAGCAAGCUAACGCUUGAAUACAUUAGCAUGGAAUAAUGAAAUAGGACGAUCGAUCCUAUUUUGUUGGUUUCUAGGAUUGACGUA
rnacentral:rRNA from 1 species